rnacentral:rRNA from 1 species
ACUCCUACGGGAGGCAGCAGUGGGGAAUCUUGCACAAUGGAGGAAACUCUGAUGCAGCGAUGCCGCGUGAGUGAAGAAGGCCUUUGGGUUGUAAACCGCUUUCAGUAGGGAAGAAGCGAAAGUGACGGUACCUACAAAAGAAGCACCGGCUAACUAUGUGCCAGCAGCCGCGGUAAU